AAAAAAUACUUUAAUACGUCAAAUUAAUUAUAAAAGACAUUCGUGCUUUGCACAUUCGUAAAACAAAAAUGGGGACUGUAUUUACGAAAAUGUCGAGAAAGAAAGCAAAAUUAAUAAGCUUAUGUAAAAGCUUUUCAUGAUGACCUAGUCCAUUUUUUUUCAUUACCUGUAUCACAAAGAGGGAAGAAGCACCUUUUUCCUCUAUCCUUUCUUCGCCGUGACGUAUUUUUUAUGAAGACAUUAUAACGGAUCUAGCAACGGGCUUUGUUGAAAUAUGGCAAACGCAAAAUUAAAAUGAUUUUGUAGGUAGUAAGAAUGAAAUUAUAUUAUUACAUCAAAGAAAGUAUUCUCGGAUGGUUUUCGCUCAACGUUCGGGGUUGUUUGUUUACGACGUGGCCCUAGUAUUUUUAACAGACUUCAAAAAUGGGAAGAAGUUUCAUAUCAAUUUGCAUAUUUUGUCUUUUGUUACUUUGAAAGAAAACUUUUAGAGUUAUCUGAACAGUUUUGAACAACAAUUGUUAGUGAACAAGCUAUAGUAAAACAUACCUACACAUUUAGAUUAUACAAAUCCUGUAAUAAAUCAGGUCAUUGGAAACCAUAAAAAUAUGUAAAUUAAAAAUUUCCAAAUAAUUCUUGUUUGUUAAUUUGGCACUCUAGUAUCAAUAGAAAGGAGACGGGAACUUCUGGGCCCAAGUUGUAAUAGGUUGAAAGAUAGCUUAAAAAAUCCGUUAUUUUUUUCUACUAAAUCAUUUAAAAAAUCAGCUCAAUUCACAAUCUGGAAGAUGAGAAAUGUAAAAAAUAAGAUAAGAUCAAAAAUAAAAUAGGUAAUCGAUAAUUUUAAUCGAUUUGUAUGCAUAUCAAUUUUAUAUAAAAAUAUAGAAGAGGCUAAUGGGGAUAUAAAUAUAGUAACAAUAUUAAAAACUAUUUAGUUCAAUUAAAUUAAUCUACUGUGAAUCAAGAGAUAUAAGUAAUAAAUAGAAAUCUAAAAAUCGAUUCUCAUUUACAAAAUCGUUUCACGAGUUGAUUACGACUCUAUUUUUAUCUAUGUUGACAGUGACAUGACACUGACAGCAGUCCCGGCGACCGGCGUAUGCGUUUAAAAAACUUUGUUAAUUGUUUACACGUUUGACUUUGGCUCCUUAGUUUGGAUUUAUUUGCCGGCUUAUCGAUUGGAAAUCGACAUCAUGGAUCUUUGUGUGAACUGUGGCAUAGAAAAGAAAAAGGAAAAAGCAACAACUAGUUGUAAUACCACAGGCAGACGAGUCGUGAAUGACGAAAUGAUUCUCUUAGUGAUUCGUCGAUGGCGUACACCGCAGCCUGUAAACAACAGUGACUAUAUUUGCUAAGCUUGCUGGAACAAACAUCAGCUAUUGAUCAACCAAGACAAUUUGGCCACCGUAAUGUUUGCCUCCGCUGUGGUCGCUCUGUUGCAUCACAAGUCACUCAUCUGCUUCAUACAGGCUCAUCUUGUGAACUGAGAAUUUAUAAUGCCAUAGAAGAAUGUAUUAUGCCUCAAACUGUAAGUUAAACCAAUGUACAUUGUUAUUUAUGAUUUUGAAAUGAUAAUAUUGCAUGUUUGUGACAGCCUCAUUGUUUAGUUAUAGUAUGCGCGUUAUCAUCUGAGUCGUCCGGUCAUAAAAGUCAAAAAAGAUAGGAAUGUGCAGCGCGCCUACCUGCGCACCCUAAUUAUCGAUAAACGGCUACCUGCGCACGUGCUAAUGAUGAGUCAAUAAUGAUUUGGACGAUUCUGAUUGGUCGGUUUCUAAUGUAAUUGCAUUGCGUAUUUUUUUUUGCUAUAAAUGUGUUUACUGCAAUUAAAUAAAUACAUUCAUGUGUUACUCGUUGCGCACUAUGGAUACUUUAUUUUCUAAC